rnacentral:rRNA from 1 species
ACUGCUAUCGGAUUGAUACUAAGCCAUGCGAGUCUUUGUAGCAAUACAAGGCAGACGGCUCAGUAACACGUAGUCAAUCUACCCUAUGGACGGGGAUAACCUCGGGAAACUGAGAAUAAUACCCGAUAGAUCAUUAUGCCUGGAAUGGUUUAUGGUCGAAAUGAUUUAUCGCCGUAGGAUGGGACUGCGGUCUAUCAGCUUGUUGGUGAGGUAAUGGCCCACCAAGGCUAUAACAGAUACGGGCUCUGAGAGGAGAAGCCCGGAGAUGGGUACUGAGACACGGACCCAGGCCCUAUGGGGCGCAGCAGGCGAGAAAACUUUGCAAUGUGCGAAAGCACGACAAGGUUAAUCCGAGUGUUUUCUGCUAAAGAAAUCUUUUGUCAGUCCUAAAAACACUGAUGAAUAAGGGGUGGGCAAGUUCUGGUGUCAGCCGCCGCGGUAAAACCAGCACCUCAAGUGGUCAGGGGGAUUAUUGGGCCUAAAGCAUCCGUAGCCGGCCGUGUAAGUUUUCGGUUAAAUCUAUACGCUCAACGUAUAGGCUGCCGGGAAUACUGCACAGCUAGGGAGUGGGAGAGGUAGACGGUACUCGGUAGGAAGGGGUAAAAUCCUUUGAUCUAUUGAUGACCACCUGUGGCGAAGGCGGUCUACUAGAACACGUCCGACGGUGAGGGAUGAAAGCUGGGGGAGCAAACCGGAUUAGAUACCCGGGUAGUCCCAGCUGUAAACAAUGCAAACUCAGUGAUGCACUGGCUUGUGGCCAGUGCAGUGCCGCAGGGAAGCCGUUAAGUUUGCCGCCUGGGAAGUACGUACGCAAGUAUGAAACUUAAAGGAAUUGGCGGGGGAGCACCACAAGGGGUGGAG